AGCCUGGUGUGACAAGUGAUUCAACAAUGGAAAAAACAGCAGCAGAAAGGAAACACACAUAGAGAGGAAGGUGAGGGACAUCCACGCGCCGGUGGUCAGGGUCUUAGAGGAGAACAACACUGCCAUCAAGCUUUACUUCAUUGAAGACGAGGCCAUCGAGAAAGCCGUCCAAGGUAUGCCAGCCAAUUUGCCAGUAGUUCCAUCCACAAUGCGGAUCCACCAAGUUGUUUGUGUGGCUGCAAGGCAAAUUGCCUACCGUGAUGUAAGCUGUAUGUGCACAGUCCACAACAAGAAACUGGAAUGCCAGUGUUUCAAUACACAACAUUUCACAU